AUUGAACGCUGGCGGCAGGCUUAACACAUGCAAGUCGAGCGGAGAUGAGGUGCUUGCACCUUAUCUUAGCGGCGGACGGGUGAGUAAUGCUCAGGAAUCUGCCUAUUAGUGGGGGACAACAUUCCGAAAGGAAUGCUAAUACCGCAUACGCCCUACGGGGGAAAGCAGGGGAUCUUCGGACCUUGCGCUAAUAGAUGAGCCUAAGUCGGAUUAGCUAGUUGGGGGGGUAAAGGCCUACAAAGGCGACGAUCUGUAGCGGGUCUGAGAGGAUGGUCCGCCACAAUGGAACUGAGACACGGCCCAGACUCCUACGGGAGGCAGCAGUGGGGAAUAUUGGACAAUGGGCGGAAGCCUGAUCCAGCCAUGCCGCGUGUGUGAAGAAGGCCUUUUGGUUGUAAAGCACUUUAAGCGAGGAGGAGGCUACUUAGACUAAUACUCUAGGAUAGUGGACGUUACUCGCAGAAUAAGCACCGGCUAACUCUGUGCCAGCAGCCGCGGUAAAAC
rnacentral:rRNA from 1 species